rnacentral:rRNA from 1 species
GCAUAUCAAUAAGCGGAGGAAAAGAAAAUAACAAUGAUUCCUCUAGUAACUGCGAGUGAAGAGGGAAAAGCUCAAAUUUUAAAUCUGUUAGGUUUACCUAACCGAGUUGUAAUUUGAAGAAGCGUUUUCUGCGAAUUUGGUUAGUCCAAAUCCUUUGGAAUAAGGUAUCAUGGAGGGUGAGAAUCCCGUUCGGUUAACCAAAGCGCUUUACGAUACGCUUUCAAAGAGUCAAGUUGUUUGGGAUUGCAGCUUAAAAUGGGAGGUAAAUUUCUCCUAAGGCUAAAUAUUGGCGAGAGACCGAUAGCGAACAAGUACCGUGAGGGAAAGAUGAAAAGAACUUUGAAAAGAGAGUUAAACAGUACGUGAAAUUGUUGAAAGGGAAACGAUUAAAGUCAGUCGUACCUACGAGUGAUCAACCUACUCGAGUGCGAUUUUGUGGGUAUGUUUGAGCUUAAAAACCUUCAUGCUUACAAAUUGGUGCUCUUUGGGCGUACUUUCUCGUAUGGUAGGUUAACAUCAAUUUCGAUCGUUAUAAAAUGACUGGAGGAAUGUAGCUUCGACCUCGGUUGAAGUGUUAUAGCCUUUGGUAGAUGUAAUGAUUGGGAUUGAGGAUUGCAACGGAUACCCUCUGGGCUAUUCGUCUGAUCUCUGGAAGUUACCUUGGUGUCGAAAGCGUGCUUACGAUAUUAAGGUUGACGGCCAAUAGGUUAGAACGUGAUUAAAUUCGUUAAGGAUGUUGACGUAAUGGCUUUAAACGAC